AGGAUGAACGCUGGCGGCGUGCUUAACACAUGCAAGUCGAACGAUGAAGGCUGGAGCUUGCUCUGGCUGGAUUAGUGGCGAACGGGUGAGUAACACGUGAGUAACCUGCCCCAGACUCUGGGAUAAGCGCUGGAAACGGCGUCUAAUACCGGAUACGAGCUUCCACCGCAUGGUGAGGAGCUGGAAAGAAUUUUCGGUCUGGGAUGGACUCGCGGCCUAUCAGCUUGUUGAUGAGGUAAUGGCUCACCAAGGCGACGAUCCGUAACUGGUCUGAGAGGAUGAUCAGUCACACUGGAACUGAGACACGGUCCAGACUCCGUACGGGAGCAGCAGGUGGGAAUAGUAGGACAAGUGGACGAAAGCCUGAUCCAGCCAUCGCCGCGUGUGAG
rnacentral:rRNA from 1 species